CAUAUUAAAAUCUUUAUAAUAUUACAUAAAGUAAAUGCAUAAUGCAUACACAGAUAGUAUAAUGACCAUGAAUAUAGGAAGAAAAUUUUUCAAUGGAUAUGUGUAAUAUAUCUAGAAUGACUCAAAAAUUUAAAAAUAUUAAGGAUGACUACUUCUGCAUACAUUACAGAUGUUUAAUUCUGUCCUGACUUUGUAUUUCUGGCCUACCCAGUUCUCAACAGUACGUGUUAUAUUAGUUAGUUUUUCUUUGUUCUGACAAAAUACUUUGCCAAAGCAACUUGAGGAGGACAGACAUGGUUUUGAUUAUCCGUUAUGGUGGAGAGGUCGUGGCAGCAAGAACAGAGGCCGCUAUCAGGAAGCAGGAUGAAUGGUGGUGCUAAACCCAGGGUCCUUCUGGGUAAAUCCAUGACUCCAGCCCAUGGGUAAAUCCAUGAGUCCAGCCCAUGGGUAAAUCCAUGAGUCCAGCCCAUGGGUAAAUCCAUGACUCCAGCCCAUGGGAUUGAUUAGUCUUCCCUCUCUGGUUUAACAUCUCUCGAAACUCCGUCACAGUUACACUGUGAUGUGUACUGUGAAAUGUACUUGUGAGCGAUUCUAAAUUCAAUCAAAUAGACAGUAUAAAUUAGCCUUUACAAGUAUUUAUUUGCUUCUACAUCCGUAUAACACAAAAAUAUAUUCUAAUGGCCUUUUUAAAUUCUUGAAUUUAUAUAAACCGGUUAAAAUCUUUUUUUUUUAAUUUUAGCAUAUCUAUACAUAUAUAUGCCAUAAAUUCUAUACUUGUCAGAAAUAAAAGACACAUAUUUUUGCAUCUAUAUGGCAAUAUUGUAAAAAUGAGCUUUGAAAUAAGCUCUCAAAACUUUUGGAUUCAUUAUUCUAGUAACGUGUUAAAUGAAUUUUUAAUAACAUUAUUUUAUUGUUCUUGUAACUUCAGCUCACACAAUAAAAAACACUUAUUUUUCUGCUAUGCUGCAAAUAUCAUUAAAAUAUAAAAAUCUGCCCCACUGCAUAAAUUCAUUUUAAACUAGCACUAUUUAUUACAUUUGACAGAGACUACCUGGGGCUUUCUUUGAUAAAGAGUGAGGGCUUUUCAUUUUCUUGUUUAUCCGGUCUUAUCUGAUGCUUCAAGAAAACAACUGUAAAUCUUUAUUAUUUCUUUUCCAGAGAUAAGAAAAGGAAAUGAAAAGACCUGUGUGUAGAUUAUGAAUUGGUUUCUGAUUCCAAAUUGACACCAUACUAAUAAUAGUUUCCUAAUAUUUCGUAGAUGAAAUUAAAUUUUAUAUACACACUCAAAUUAUUAAAAAUGAAAAAUUUAACCUGUUUAUAUGAAUUGCCCGUUUAUUCAGAAUUACACUCCUAGCUUUUAAGCAACAAACUCAGAUCUGCUUCUUUUGACAUGGGU
rnacentral:lncRNA from 1 species